rnacentral:rRNA from 1 species
CGUAACAAGGUCUCCGUUGGUGAACCAGCGGAGGGAUCAUUACCGAGUUUACAACUCCCAAACCCCUGUGAACAUACCACUUGUUGCCUCGGCGGAUCAGCCCGCUCCCGGUAAAACGGGACGGCCCGCCAGAGGACCCCUAAACUCUGUUUCUAUAUGUAACUUCUGAGUAAAACCAUAAAUAAAUCAAAACUUUCAACAACGGAUCUCUUGGUUCUGGCAUCGAUGAAGAACGCAGCAAAAUGCGAUAAGUAAUGUGAAUUGCAGAAUUCAGUGAAUCAUCGAAUCUUUGAACGCACAUUGCGCCCGCCAGUAUUCUGGCGGGCAUGCCUGUUCGAGCGUCAUUUCAACCCUCAAGCACAGCUUGGUGUUGGGACUCGCGUUAAUUCGCGUUCCCCAAAUUGAUUGGCGGUCACGUCGAGCUUCCAUAGCGUAGUAGUAAAACCCUCGUUACUGGUAAUCGUCGCGGCCACGCCGUUAAACCCCAACUUCUGAAUGUGACCUCGGAUCAGG